UUUCUGAAACUAUUUGGGCGGGCAGGUUCAAAUUACGAGGCUGCUUCAAUUCAUUUCAUUUCAUUCAAUAUCACUCUUCCAAUGGGCCUGCUGCAAUCCCCUAACUCAUUGUACGGCUUCCAUUGAAGCCUGGUGAGUGAGCUUCUUUUCCAGCUCCUCUCCAUGUUCUAUCUUGUAGGUGAUUAUUGAUUUGAGGUUGCUGAAGGAGAGGGAAUGGGCCAGGGCCUGAGCUGCGGACACCGCCAUGAAAAUGGACUCUGCUUCACUGCUCUGCAGAAUGAGGAUGUGGAAAGUGUUCGAGCCAUGGUGGAGACUGAUUCGUCUAUCUUACACCACACCACACCAUCCACCAUCAAAGAUCAACGGUCCUACAUGUGGCGGCAGCCAAUGGACAGAUCGAUAUUCUUUCGAUGCUCUUGGGUCGGAAUGCGAAUCCCGAUAUUCUGAAUCGGCAUAAUCAGACUCCUCUGAUGCUGGCUGCUAUGAGCGGGAGGGUAGAUUGUGUUCAAAAGCUGAUCGAAGCAGGAGCUAAUGUUCGUAUUCCGUUUUGGAUGAUUUUCAGGAGUUUGUUUCUUAUUUUGCUGCUAUUUUUUCUUACUGGCGUCGAUUUGAUUUCCGUAGAUAUUGAUGUUUGAUUCUAAACAUCGAAGAACCUGCUUGCAUUACUCAGCUUAUUAUAUGCAGUAAACAGUUUCUAAAGGCAUCCAUAGGACCAUUUGAAGUUUUUUCUUCUAUCAUAUGCUAACAGUUAAUAAGCUAACCAUGGCUGUCACUUAAAGUGGUUCACUAACUUGGCAGUAAACAGACUGAACGUAGCAGCUGAGAAUACAUUGAUUUGUCUGAUCCAAACACAAUGGCUCAAUGGUGAUAAGUCUCCCACAACCCAAAUGGUAGAAUGAAAGAAAUGACCAUAUAACUUUUGACAUGCAUCAUUUGUCCAUGAAGAAAAGGUUGUAGUGAAACAAUGCAUUCAAAGUUAUUAUAGGAAUGAAAGAAAGAAUUAUUUGAUGAGUUGGCAAUAUAGACAUGAAAAUAGUGGAGGAAUCCCUUGACAGUAACCAUCUUCAGCAAGUUCUCCAAUUGAUCUUCUGCUUUCCUCUGUGAUCGCCGGUGCAAAUGGCUGCACGGGAGCAACUUGAUCACUGGAAAACAGAGAGUUUGUUCCAGAAACAGGACGAACAGGCGAGUAAUCAUUGGGUCCAUACAUGGUCGGGUUGUGAGCUCUCCUUUCUGCUUCAAGAGAGUGUUCAAGUGAAGGAGAACUGCUCAAGCUCACAGCAUCAGGGCGGAGUUUAAUGCAUAAAGAUAAAGAAAACAACCAUGGCUUGGACUUGUACUUCUUUUUGUCUUUGAGUAUUUCCACUCCGUUUCCUUUGGUCGAUCUUCGCGACAGCUCCAGAAGGCUAGAGACUCCAAUGAGACUCCCAAGCGUGAUGCUCUUGUCAUGGUAGAAUGAUCCAGUUGACUAAAAACCAAUUGCCUGAUGGAAUUUAGCAAAAACAGGGCCAAAAAGACAAUGCCAGAGAUUUUGAAGUUUUUGAGACUAACCCAACGCAAUGUAUUUGCAUGAUCGAACGAGAGCAUGAAAGAAAAGGAAUUCUUCUAUAAUCAAGCAUAAUGUGCUAAAUUUUCAGCCUCUCUAACGCAUACACAGUUACACAGGCAAAAGAAGAACAGAAAAAAAGAAAAAAAAA